rnacentral:rRNA from 1 species
AAAGAGCUAAGUAAUUAAUAAAGUUAUUGUGGUAAAACUAUUUUUAAUAAUUAUUUUGAAAUGAAAUGUUAUUCGUUUUUAAAUAUAUCUAGUUUUUUUAGAAAAAAAUUUAAUUUUAAAUUUAAUUUUUAAUAUUAAUUAAUUAAUUAAUUUUUAUUGGGUUAACUUUUAUAUUUUAGGGGAUAAGCUUUAAAUUAAAUAUUUAUAAAAUAAUUUUUUGUUUUUAAAAAUUUUAUGAUUUAUAUUGUUAAUAAAUUAUAUUUUAUUAUAAAUAAUUUUAAAAUAAAUAAAAUUUAAUUUAAUUUUUAAUUUUAUAUAAAAAAAAUAAUUUUAAAUUUAAUAAAUUUAAAAAUAAUGAUAAAAUUAGUAUAUUUGUUUUGUUUAUUAAAAAAUUUUAUUAGAUAAUUUAAUUAAUUAUAAGGAAUUCGGCAAAUAUUUAUAUUCACUUGUUUAACAAAAACAUGUCUUUUUGAAUUUAAUUUAAAGUCUAAUCUGCCCACUGAUUUAUAAAUUGAAGGGCUGCAGUAUUUUGACUGUACAAAGGUAGCAUAAUCAUUAGUCUCUUAAUUGGUGACUUGUAUGAAAGAUUGAAUGAAAUAUAUACUGUCUCUUAAUUAAUAUGUAGAAUUUAAUUUUUUAUUUAAAAAGUUAAAAUGAUUUAAAAAGACGAGAAGACCCUAUAGAGUUUUAUAGAUAAAUUUAUUAAUUUAAUUAUUUAUAUUUAUUAAAAUUAUUAUAAUUUUAUUUAUUUUAUUGGGGUGAUAAAGAAAUAAAGUUAACUUUUUUUAAAUUAAAACAUAAAUAAGUGAGUAAAUGAUCCAUUAAUAUUGAUUAUAAGAUUUAAUUACCUUAGGGAUAACAGCGUAAUUUUUUUUUUUAGUUCAAAUAAGAAAAAGAGUUUGCGACCUCGAUGUUGGAUUAAGAUAAAAUUUAAACGCAAAAGUUUAAAAUUUUUG